UGGGGAAUAUUGCACAAUGGGGGAAACCCUGAUGCAGCGAUGCCGCGUGAAGGAAGAAGAUUUUCGGAUUGUAAACUUCUAUCAGCAAGGAAGAAAACGGACAGUACUUGAGUAAGAAGCCCCGGCUAACUACGUGCCAGCAGCCGCCGGUAAUACUAGACU
rnacentral:rRNA from 1 species